rnacentral:rRNA from 1 species
UACAGAGGGUGCAAACGUUGCUCGGAAUUAUUGGGCGUAAAGCGCGCGUAGGUGGCCCUGUAAGUCCGUUGUGAAAGUCAAAGGCUCAACCUUUGAAAGCCGAUGGAUACUGCAGGACUAGAGUACGGAAGAGGCGAGUGGAAUUCCUGGUGUAGCGGUGGAAUGCGCAGAUAUCAGGAGGAACACCAAUAGCGAAGGCAGCUCGCUGGGACGUUACUGACACUGAGGCGCGAAAGCGUGGGGAGCGAACAGG